ensembl:lncRNA
GUCUGGAAUCCAGAUGGCACGUAGUAUUUUCCGUUUACAAUGGUAACCCUUCGAGUGAUACCACCACGUUUCCUCCCAACUUGUCUGCCAGGGUUAUACAGUAUGUUAGUAUGGGUAUUCGAACACAGCCCAUGACUGAUGAAAUCUACAUAUCCCAGAAUGUAUGAGCGUCCAACAGUGAUGACGUAAGUUCAGUGUAUAAAUAACCGAUCGAACGCUAGUGGCGCUCUUCUUGGAGACGGUGCCAUCUGGUAGAGACACUCCUCCACGACAUGAGGGCAAAGUUCAUGCUUUGAUGCACCUUUACUGACCUCAUCUCAGUGAUUGGGAGUCAAAUGGAGCGGCUCAAUGGCCCAGCGUCGUCCAGGUGGAGAAAGAAGCGUAUGCGCAGGCUGAAGCGCAAGAGGCGAAAGAUGAGGCAGAGGUCCAAGUAGAAUGCCUCCCCAUACAACACCAUGGCUGUGACCCUUCUGGACACAACACGGGACCAAGGAUCUCAUGCUUAAAGUCUGAUCUGAGAUGUGCCAUCCAUGCCAAUGAGAGGCUGUAAAGAGACAGUGCUACUGUUGUCUUGGUCAAGAGACCACCUGCCUGGGAAAAUUAUGGGGACAUUCUGGAUUCUCUACUCUUCUACCAAACCUAUCCUACUCCAUUGCUUUUGUUUAUACUUUCCCAAUAAAGUUUUUGGUUUAAAGUUGUCUUUGUUGCUUCUGAAACAGGGUCCAGAAUGUAAUUCCUACCAUGCUGCACCCAUUUACCAUUAUUGCUGACAAGAGUUCAGUUCUGGUGAGUAGUCAUAUCAAACAUUCUUAUAGGUAGCCCAUAUGUUGUGAUUCCCUUAAAACCAGUUUAGGGGUUAUCAGUAUGAUAAGGUUAUGCUGCAUGCCUUCUCGCAGCUGUUGUGUCACUGUUGUGAGGCGUGCAUGGACUGCUCCAGACGGGGGCCAUCUGGAGCACGGUCUCCUGAGUGGUGCAUCUCAGUGCUAGAUGCCCCAGUUUGGUCCCGGGCUGUAUCUCAACUGAUUGGGAGUCCAAUAGGACUAUCACAGCAACACGUGCAACUUAGUUUUCUAGGUAAAUUUACUGUGAACAUUCUCAUUUCAAACAAUGACCUGGGGGAUUAAUGAGCCAAACGGAAGCUGGGGAUGAUUAGGUGGUAAUGGUAUGAGGACUAGAUUGGGUAUUUAGCCAGGACACUGGGUUUAACGCCUGUUAUAAUUGUCAUGGGAUCUUUAGUGGCCAAAGGUCGGACACCUGUUUUAAUGUCCCAUCUGGUGGUCCCCAAUCACCGCCCUGGAGCAUUGAUAUCUUGGUUGACGUAGUUUCCCUGGAUACCUGGCUGUCACUAAGGGCAAUUCUGUGGGGGAAAACCAUUUAAUUUAACGUCAUGUAUAGAGUAUUGUAGCCAAUGGUUUCUAUUUAAUGCUAUGUAAACAUAUCUAUGUAGGUCUUCAUUUUGUUAUUAAGUUGACGUGAAAAAUAAAUUAAACCGCACCCCAAAUGGUCAAAAACAAACAGGUUUACCCUGGAGGCAAAACGGUUUGAUCUCUCUGGCACUGUCUUACAGGCUGUUCAAAUAGAUGUCAGCCAAGCAUACUCUGUUUUUAAACAAGUGAGAUUUGGAUUUGAAAAUGGGUGGCCUAUUGUAGGACAUGUGUUUUUCCCCAUUACAAAUGCAUGUUGGACUAUUAAUCUGUUUCUAAAUUACUAAUUUACUAGUGUAAACCCACUGAAGAAAAAUACAGGACAGUCAACAGCCUACAAUAACGAAGCUUCUCCAAAACGUGUGCGUAAUACUCAUAGUUCUACAUUAUACCAGGUGUCAACCGAGGUAAUGGUCGUGUUGCUGUAUCAAAUACGUAGGGUACCCAACUAUCACGUUUAUUCAUUGGCCUCCAGUAGAUAUACAGGCAAUUCCAGUGGUGUAAAAAUACUUUAAAGUACUACUUAAGUAGUUUUUGGGGCAUCUGUACUUUACUAUUUAUAUUUUUGACAACUUUUACUCCACUACAUUCCUAAAGAAAAUAAUGUACUUUCUACUCCAUACAUUUUCCCUCACACCUAAAAGUACUCGUUACAUUUUGAAUGCUUAGUAGGACAGGAAAAUGGUCUAAUUCAUACACUUAAAGAGAAAAUCCCAGGUUAUACCUACUGCAUCUGAUCUGGCGGACUCACUAAACACAAAUGCUUUGUUUGUAAAUUAUUUCUGAGUGUUGGAGUGUGCCCCUGGCUAUCCGUAAAUUUAAAAAACAAGAACAUCGUGCCAUCUGGUUUGACUUUUGAUACUUAAGUAUAUUUUAGCAAUAACAUAUACUUUUGAUACUUAAGUUUUUGGGGCGGCAGGUAGCCUGGUGGUUAGAGCGUUGGGACAGUAACUGAAAGGUUGUUGGAUCAAAUCCUCGAGUUGAGAAGGUAAAAAUCUGUCGUUCUUCCCCUGAGCAAGGCAGUUAACCCACUGUUCCUUGGUAAACUUGUUCUGACUUGCUUUGUUAAAUAAAAGUAUAUUUAAAAC